CUCUCCCCCCGCUCAAAAUAAAGAAACUUGAAAAAUAAAAUUAAAAUACAAAGAAACAAACGAGCAAAAACCAUCCCAUCAUGCUUGAGGAUCAUUAUGGUAACACCAAUCUGGUCUCGUCAUGUUACUUUUCCUAAGCAUCCUAUCGAUGGAGCAAUCAAUAACAAAAAUGGAUACAACAUAUGAACGCGGUGUGCGUUAGUUUGCCUAGAUGUAACUGACUGCUCUGUGAUUACUGAAACCAGGAUAUUUUGCCGAAGCCAAUUUGAUGAACAGAAAUUCUCACGAAAGCAUCUAGCCCUUGAGGGGCAAGCGGAAGCCGAGAGGCAAGUCCCACCUACUUACAGAACAUGGCUUUGUGUGUUUUGUUUUCUGUGAAGUUCAGCAGCAGUUUAAUCCUAAACAGAAGCUUCCAGCCAGCUUCAGCGACUGGGAAAUUCCGUCUUUCACAUUUGAAAGGAGUAGCGCAUGUUAGGAGCCUUGGAGAGAACAGCAUACGGGACGUGUGACUCAAGUGCGCCUUAUCUCCACAACACCCCGAGUUCAUCUUGUACGAUUCUAGAGCCAAAUCCCUUCCCUCCCCUCUGGGUCAGGCACCAGCCACAUCAAAGGUGUUUCCCAGCCUAAAUAAGUGAAGGCCUUCUGGAAGGCCCGCAGAGAAACACAGGCUGCUCUGAAUUUCAAGAGUGGGAACAAACCUCCAUGAAUUAAUGUUAUCUCUUCGUUGCAAUGUGUGUGCAGGGCGCUAAUGUGCAGACGCUCAUCUGACAUCUUAAUGAGUCUGGAAAGAGAAGCAUUCCCUGCGUCUCAGGUGUCGGUGUUCAUGUACCCUGUUCUCUUGCAAAUCGUGAGGUCAUUCAGAUUUUUUGGAAAUAGUUGGUUCUUGCUUGUUAAAUUCAGAAAAUUGAAAAAAAGACAACCUCAAACUAAUGUGGCUGACGCAUUUCGAUUCCAAACAGGCCUAGGAUCGUCGCUCCUGGUUGUCUUUCCUUCUGGACGAUCCUGGCAAAGCCGGAGCUGGUGGUCCAGCUCUUUAUGUAGAGGCGAUCAGUUUUGUGGCCUUCCCUGUCCUGGCCAGGGCCCCACUCCACAGAUCCCCCCCUUGGGGCCAUGGCCUCGAGUCCCUUGGGAAGGCAGUAUAUGCAGAGUCCCUAGUGGAUUGCUGAGCACCUGGGCUGAGGGGAGGAGGGUCCUCGGACACACGCAGGGCCCCUGUUCCCACCAGCUGUACUUGGCCUCCCCCGCCUCUCCAGCCUCACCCACUCUGGACAGAGAAUAACCAGAGGAGGGAGGAGUCAGCAUGCCCCCACAUGUUCUGUCCCUCACAAAGAAGCCAGAUUCCACUGAAAACUGUCCAGGGGACAGGAUGCACCUUCACCUGCCCCAACUUCCAGGAUGGAGGUUGUCUCCAAUUGGCAAACUCAAGUUUGCUUCCAAAGUGAGCAGACCCCCGCCUUCCCCGAGCCAUCUUUCCUGCCUGGCAUGCCAAGCGUUUGCUAAUCCCGGACAGCCCUUCUUGGUGACAUGGAUGAGGGCUGUCCUCAUGACAUGACACACCAGGGGCGUCUUCCUAGCUCCCUUGUCCAUUGAUGAAAUCAUUGUUGGGGGCAAUGAGGGGAGAGUUAGGGAUGGGGUGUUUGGAGCCACGAAGGGCCCCUUCCAGAGCCCAGGAGGGUGGGGCCAUGUGUGGCUGCCGAGGAGGAAGGACAGUGAAACCCUCUCCAGCUUCCCCCCAGGUGACACACACACGUUUGCUGGGCACCAGCAGGGUGACACUAGUGUGGACUCACUGGCCCCCCAGCAGAUAUGCCCCUCGUUAGGCGUCUGGUAGAGAAAAUAGCGGGAGACGUGGCGCUGGUUUCCUCUGCGCUCUUGUCAGCAGCCUGCACUCUGUUCUGAUUUCUGCACCUUCCAAAGCCUCGGCUUGUCCUCGGGGGAGGGUCCUUAUGCCAACCACACCGGCAUCGCAUCCCGACAGCACAGGCCACGGCUGGGGGCCCUGGCUGUGGAGCAAGUUGCUCGAUUCAGCAUCCGCCCAUCGGGGGCAAGCUGUUUUCCCCUUCCUUUUUAAGACGUAAAUUACUCUUCUCUAAUUCAGUGAACUUCUCAAAGUGAUUCAGAACAAAUAACUGUAGCGAAAGCCGCGCAACUCUGCGGUGCUCCCGAGUGCUCGCCGUGCCGUGUCCACAUCAGGAAAGACACCCCGGAUGGUCGAGGAGAGCCCAGCUUUACCUAAAGUAGCGAAUACUGCAUCACAUCACUUAAGAGGCGGUAGAAUUCUUCAGAAGGAAAAUCUCUCCAAAUUACCCUUUCAUACCAACGAGGUAGGCAUCCACUCUGCAAAAGGUAGAAACAGAAGGAGGAGGGAAAAUGUUAGAAGAGUGGAAGGUGAACACCCCCCCCCCCACACACACACACACUCCAAGGGAGUCCAGUAGGUAGCUCAGUUUCUGCUGGGGGAAGAAUCCAGAAACUCAACGCAGCAUCAGGAGCCUGAGGUCUGCAGAGGAGCUCGGCCCAGACUGAAGAUGAGGAGGAAACAGAACAAGAAAGAGAGCACAGACCUCUUUCAGACAGGCGCUUUAUUCCAAGAACGAGAAAAGCAGCCCCAUGCACCUGAUGUGACCUGAUUGCCCAACCAGCGUGGGUGUUCCCCUGCUGGAUAUGGAUCUUCCAGAAUGGCAGGAUUAAAGAGGGCUGCUUUGUGACCACAAUGGUGUCGGAACUGACAAGACCACUGCAUAAGCACAUCUGCGCACAGACACCAAUGUGAGCACUGUCCAACCAUGGAGGUGGCCACAGAGUCCAGCCCGGGCUGAUAGGUGUGGCUGAGGUUAAUUACAGGGUUAGCUGCGCUGUAUCCCUUUUACCAUCCGUAUAAGCUUUAUUAAGGUGCCCGUGGUAGAAUUACUUCAUCCUGGCAGCAUCCAAUCCAGAACCAAGUCCAACUUUCGUGAAACUUCCCCAGAAUCACCCAACAAACGCUCAAAUCCUGUAAGUUCUUUCUAAUCCCCUCUUUCAGAGAAACCCUCCAGUUCCCCAUGGUGCACGUUCUCCCUCGUCACAAGUCCACAAACCCAACUCGGCUCAUUCCUGGCGAGUUUUGGCUGGAGAGCUCUCACAAUCCAUUUAACAAAUAUUCGCAUGGCAUCCGUUGCACAUCACACGUCGUGUCCAGCGCCCCAUCUUGUACAGACACAGUCCCAUCAUUGGUGGCUUGUGGUCUAUUGGAAAGCAUCAGCAAAGGGGAAAAGUGGAGGGGUAGAAGAGGCAGCAACACGGGAAACGGACCUGGUCUGUCAGAGCUCUCGGAGACAGUGAUGCCAUUUCUGAAACUUACACGUGGGUACAUGUGAGCUCGACAAGUAGUGCGGGGAGUGGUUCCCCAACAGGUGGGCCACCGAUGGUCAGAGCCUCAAAAUAAGAUGUCGGUUGCGGGUCAUACGUGAAUAUUGUACAGCUGGGUGUUAGAGGAUGAACACAAAAGCCCACGAAGCAAGAGCUGGCGUGAAAACCACUGUCCCCGCGAGGCACUUCGCCUAGCACCAUUGUAAUUGAUUUGUAGCCCAAGGACCCAAUCAUUUCGCCAAAGCAGAUUUUUCCCAAGCUUGACUUCCUGGAACGGUUGGUCAAGUGUGAUUGAUCACCAUCAAUUGAUGUGCUAGCUCAUUAACAUUGUGCUAGGUUCUUCCGGGGAAUCCAGAAAAAUCUGUGUACCUACAGGCAGUUUAAAUGUCUGAUCCAUUGGCAUUAUUCUCUCACCGUCUGAUUCCUUAUCACCUUCUCAGGAUCCACGUGCUUUUUUUUUAAAUAACAUACUUUCAAAAAAUAAAGGACUACUCAAAUGUCUUCCCAUUUUUCUUUCAUUCUAAGAAUAGCAAAUGUGGACCGUGUUUCCUAUGUGACAGACGUUGCCAUAAACUCAUUAAUCCUCAAAGCAACCUAGGAAGUAGGUGUUACUAUGUCCCCAUUUUUCAGGUGAGAAAACAGAGGCAAAUGGAGGUCAAAUAACUUACACAAGGUCACACUCUUGUGGCAAAGCAGGGACUUGCACUGGGCAGUGUAGCUGCAGAAGUCAUGCUGCUGACACUAGUAACACCUGACACUUUAUUUCACAUCAUCUGAACACACACAAGUUCAAGGAUGUUGAGGUAAUGGUGUGAAUCACGGCACGACGGCCCCAUCAUUAUGACUCACACCUGCGAGACCUCUGGAAAUGCCAUCCAUCUAGUUGGCUUUCGGAUGGCCCUGGACAACCAGUCCAGGUUGAAGUGUUACAAACAACAUCACGGUGUCGUGCUUGGUUGAUGAAGUCCUCCUCUCCAUCUUUAAUCCAGGGCUGUAAGGGGGCAAGAUUCCUGAGGCUCCUCCCCUCUGAGGCGGGUUGAUCCUCCCCCACUCCGCCUCCAUCUGCACACAGGAGAAGCAUGGUGGAGCAAAUUCACCUCAGCCUAAUUCCCAGAACGCUCAAAAACCUAGUACAAGAGAUUUCUGUUUGAGUCAAAAUGCUCUAGGUACCAACAUGUUCUUUGUACCAAAUUAUAGACCCGUUGCUUUUGAGUUUCCCUUCUGAUGCUGAAUUUAUUUUUUUCUGAAUGCUGGACCUGAAGCCCAUUACUAAGAAGUCAGCUUUCACCCAUGUCCUUUGUGGAAACUCUGGUUUACAAAUUAUAUGAUAAAUGGUCAGAAAAGGAGGAGAAAUGAAUGGUUGAAACAGGUGCACACGUGAUCAAACGUGAAUUUCACAGAAUGCACUGAGUAAGAGAGUAAGAUACUAUGCCACCAAAUGGAACCACUAAUCUGCUGGAGACACUGGUCAGCUCUUGGCAUCAGGCUCCAAAACCAACCCCAGCCCUAAACAUGCCAUAUUAACAAAGGAAUUUCAUCCACUGUAUAUUCGACUUGAGCCUGACUUCCCAAGUUUCCAAGAGAAUUAUUAGGAAAACAGUUUGAUAGCAAACACUUUAGGUGCAACUUCUGCAUUGAGGAAAAAAAAAUCUAAGCCAAUCCAAAGGUGUAAAAAUAUCAGUCCACGAAAUACAGGGUUUUAUUAAUUCAGUGGCAUAAUGUAAAGUUUGCCUAACACAUAGUAUACAUGUGAAAAGCAAUGGGGGGGGGGCGGGGGGAGACGCAUUUCAAGAAGCCGCUGAGGGUCGGGACCGUUUCUUGUGUCUCAGACAUCGGAUGUACCUGACACCUCCCUGGCCAGUACCUGCUUCUGGUCCCGAGAGCACAAUUUUUCUUUUUCAUUUAUUAGAACUGUUCUUUAUGAAUUGUACUCGACAUCACGAAACAGGAGACUGGAACAUAUUUGUACCUCCCUUCCCUUUUCCUGCAGCUUUACAACAAACGGUGUGGCCAGCGCCUCCUGGCCCUGAAUGCAGGUGGAGAGCCUUUCGUUUUUUCCCUCCUGUUUAUGGGCAGGAUGGUGACAAGACACCAGAUCUUCUCCCGAGGCAUCCCUGCUCCAGGCCUCUGGAUAUCCCAAAGCCCAAUCUGAUGACGUGCCUCUAAACAUGAAAGUCUUUCCAGGAUAAGAUCCAACCUCCUCAGCGAGAGGGCCCCCCCUUCUUCACGACCAGCUCCCCCGGCCGCUGGGGGCCUCCUCUCUCCCUGACCCUCUCGGAAGCUUCACCUCAGAACCGGCUCUGUUCUCUUCAUCUUCGAAGUGCAGCUCACUACACAUCUUCCACAUGCCUCCCCGACCCACCCUCUUGGCCAAGCACCUAUAUAUAGCUUGCCUCCUUUUGUGGCCUUCUUCCCUGGUGUAGCUGUUGGUUUUCUUCUGUGGCCCUUCCUAGACCUGGAGAGUCAGAAUAGCACAGCAGAUGCCCCGUGUGUCUGCAGCUCCCUUCCCUGAGCUUGGAACGCACUGCGUGAUCAGCAAGGCAGACCUGUGGGCAGUGGAACAGAUCAAGUCACCAGCAAGGGACUGGUGACAGAAGACAGAGUGGCUUUGUGUUGUACAUGCCUUCAGAGACAGAGGGGGGGCCCCUUGCAGACAUGUAAGUGGGAGCCUGCCCUCCAUUAGCCCACGUUGCACUGCCCACGACCGGGAGGGCUCCCCACAAAUGUCCCUCCUUGGUCCUCCUGUACCUUUCUCUUCAACUCCCUGCCCUUCUCUCUUCCAGGGGCCCGAAGCAUUCAGGGAGGUUGGCUGGGAAUUGAGGGGAGGUUUAGAAAGACACACCAGGGAGGCACGUGACUGUUCUUCCCAGACUGGCAUUUCGCGGACGCUGGCCCCAGGAGGCUGUGGGCAGAGGCGGCACCAUGGGAUUGGAUCAUGUCCAGGAAGAGUCCGCCCUGGCUGUCCAUCCCAAAGGGCCGAGCAGAGCUGCAGAACUCAGGAGCCUCAGGAGCCCCUGGACCAGAGAGACCCAGCCAGAGUGGAAGGAAAGAGACCCCCGCAGUCCAGCCGUGUGUUGUUCCUAGCUAAGUGAUCUGGACGAGUGCCAGACGCAGCGCUGCUUUGGGGGGAAACAGGAAAGGCCACGAACUAAAUGCUGCUGUUUGCCAAAAGCUUGCUGUGACCUGCCGUGUGGGUGCUGGCUGAGUGUAGACUGAGUUCUGACACUGGGGUGAAGCCAGCCAGGCCCUGGCAGUUGGGUUCUCAGAUGCUCCAGCCCUGAGCGGAAGGCUGGGAAGUAUUAUGGCCGUGCGUCACCUGCACACAACGUGGAGAUGGGCUACCUAAUUAAUAGCUGUGUUUCGGGAACACUGCCCCUGGAAAGGGUGUACCGAAUCCAGGCCCCGCUGAAGGUUUGGAUGGCAUGCUUCUUCUAUCCCUGAAAUAAGCAAUUGGAUUCAACACGCCUGAAUCUCAGAACCAGCUUGGGCAGAGAAAAGCCAUUAUCUUCAGGAAGGCUGCAGGUUCAGCUGUGGGCUCGGGCAGGCGGAGCUGGACCCGGCCGGGAGAGGAGACGGUUAACACAAAAUCCAUAUGGAGACCUGGCGAGGUGUUCCAGCUGUUGUAGGUUGGCAGAGAUUCACAGCCAGCAAUGAGCGAGGAAGUUUGGGGCCCUCGUGGGGCUCCUCUGGAAGGGUAAUGACGUCCCUGCCCAGCUUGGGGUUUUACGUGCAUCUGUUCGAUGGGAUGUGUGGGCACUGCCGUUGCCAGGCUGGAAAACAGUAACCCAGGCUGAAAACGUAAUAGAACGCACCCUAGGAGAGAGGGUGAUGGCUGGGUGUGAGAGCCACGGGGUUUUGCGACAGAGGAGAGGAGAGGGGAGCGCGUUGGAGACGGGAGAAUGGAUGAUCGAUGGCACAUUAACGUAUGCGCCAAGCUGAGGUCGCUGUUCGGGAGUCCUUGGAAGCGUGGUCUGACUGCCCAACUGUGGCUCCCACUGACAAGCACCUCUGCCCUCCCUGCCACACUGGGGGGGGGGGUGGGAUGGGGAGGCUGGGUUUGGGGGGGAACUGCUGGCUCUGAGCGCGCUCCGCCCACGCACCAGGGCAGGCACCCGGCCCCGUGGCUCCCCCCCACCUUCAGUAACAGAGGCAGCUGCGGUGACCGUCGUUUCUCAGGGACUGCUCACACGGUGAUGUUAUUUCAUAAACAUAGCGGCCCUCGCGGGCUUUUAGGGUAGGCCGCAACGCUCUUGCCCCAAAUGGGCCCUACUGGGGAGCACAUCAUGUCCUCUGGAGCGUUUCCUGAGGUUGCCAUAACAAAGUACUGCAGAUGGGAUGACUUCAAACAACAGAAAUGUAUUCUGUCGCAGCUCUGGAGGCCGGCAGUCCCAACGUCACGGGGCCCGUCCCUUCCGCCCUGCGCUGCUGAGGCCCGUGAUGAAGAAGGGUGUGAACUGGUCCCUGUGAGGAAGGCCCCUCGGUCUCCGUCGGUGGGCUUUGCUGUUUGAGGAAGGGGAGACGGGAGAAUGGCUCACAGCGAUGCCGGGCCUCAGUGAGGGGGCGGCCUGGCUGUCUCAGUCCCGGGCCCCUGGACGCUUUCCUCCAGGUCUUGAGGUUGACUUCCCAUGACAGUCACUGAGUGUGUGCCCUGCGGAGGGGUUUCCAGAGUCUUGUCUCAGCGUCUGUCACAGGUAAUGGCACCCAGGUGUGCUUGGGCCGGCUCUGUGGGCUGGGCUUCUCGAGCAGCUUUCCUCCUACAACGGUUGCCCCACUUGACAGAUGAGAAAACCAAGGCCCAGGGAGCUCAGGAAGUUUGCUCCAGCUCAGUGGCAGAGCUAGUAAGUAGGCGAGCCAGGAUGCAGCAGCCCCAGGUGGUCAGCCCCUGAGCCCACUCUCCUCCCCUCACAGCCUCACAGCCUCCAGCAAGGUGCAGGCGACUCUAGCGAGUGGAUGUGCACCUGUGAGUGUGUCUGUGAGUGUGCAUUUGCAAGUGUCUGUGAGUGUGCAUCUAUGUGCGUGUCUGCGAGUGUACAUGAGUCUGAGUGCGAGGCUGUGAGACUGUGCCUCUGUGAGUGAGUGUGCAUCUGUGUGUGUGUCUGUGAGUGCGUCUUCUGAGUCUCUCCAUUCCUGCAGUCGUAGGCCAUAUUUCACAUAGAGAGUAGACAGUGAAGGCUGAAUCAAAAUUAAGUCAUUAUCGUAUGAAUGAGGCUAGUUCUAUAAUUUAUCAUCACCAUAGAUUUUCUAUAUUUCAAGUGAAGAUAAUAGAAUUUUCUGCCUUAAGUAUGAGAUGGGAAAUGUAAAUCUUGGGUCGGGUGAACUGCACUUGCUGAGGAAUCUGGACAGGACGGGAAACCGCCAUCUGUAGUCCCAGUGUUCCGCAGUUGUAUUUUGGGUCCGGAUGGAAUAAGAUAAUUUUGAACCUUCGUGCCUUCUCACUUCUCCCUGACGCUUCGGCUCCCAGGGUCCUGUGGCCUCAGACCAUGGGGAUGCCAAUGCAGAGCAAGCAUGGACUCAUCAAGUUUCACCACAAAUCCCACAUCCCAGGAGCCCUUUUAUAGUGUCUGUCUGCUGCCUCAUGAGAGAAAUCUCUCUCCACUCAGCCCCAACCUUAUUUUCCUAAGUAGGUUUCUGUGAAAGAACUUUCCAUGUGGUACUGUUCACAACAUGAAGUGUAAUAAAUUGGACCACUUCUUUGUCCAAGAAA